GCAGACACAUUCCAGCCAAUCAGCAACAGACCCUCCCUCCCAGACCCUCCCACCUCCUGGACAGCUCACUAAGAAUGCAGCUUCACAAUGAAUGUAAAAUGGAUGCUGUCCAGGAGGUGGGAGGGUCUGGGAGGGAGGGUCUGCUGCUGAUUGGCUGGAAUGUGUCUG